AACGAACGCUGGCGGCAGGCCUAACACAUGCAAGUCGAACGAGGUUUUCUUUUUCGGAAGAGAGCCUAGUGGCGGACGGGUGCGUAACACGUGGGAAUCUACCUUAUAGUGGGGGAUAACUUCUGGAAACGGGAGCUAAUACCGCAUACGCCCUUAGGGGGAAAGAUUUAUCGCUAUAAGAUGAGCCCGCGUUGGAUUAGAUAGUUGGUGAGGUAACGGCUCACCAAGUCAACGAUCUAUAGCUGGUCUGAGAGGAUGACCAGCCACACUGGGACUGAGACACGGCCCAGACUCCUACGGGAGGCAGCAGUGGGGAAUCUUAGACAAUGGGGGCAACCCUGAUCUAGCCAUGCCGCGUGAGUGAAGAAGGCCUUAGGGUUGUAAAGCUCUUUCACCUGUGAGGAUGAUGACAGUAACAGGAUAAGAAGGACCGGCUAACUCCGUG
rnacentral:rRNA from 1 species